UACGUAGGGUGCGAGCGUUGUCCGGAAUCAUUGGGCGUAAAGAGCUCGUAGGCGGUCUGUCGCGUCUGCUGUGAAAACCCGAGGCUCAACCUCGGGCCUGCAGUGGGUACGGGCAAGCUAGAGUGCGGUAGGGGAGAUUGGAAUUCCUGGUGUAGCGGUGGAAUGCGCAGAUAUCAGGAGGAACACCGAUGGCGAAGGCAGAUCUCUGGGCCGUAACUGACGCUGAGGAGCGAAAGCAUGGGGAGCGAACAGG
rnacentral:rRNA from 1 species